rnacentral:lncRNA from 1 species
AUGUAAAGCAUGUAUUUGUUUUAGUCAUACUAGCUAUUGGUAGAAAUAUGUCACCAAGUAGUUGAUAGUGAAUUAUGACUGUAAGUUGCCGAAUUUCUGAAGUUAUGAAGUUAUGGUGGAAUAUGAUGUAGCGGAUUUUAAUAAAAAAAAGUAGAAAUAAAUAAAAAUAGUGUAAGAUACUAUUUUUAUUGGACUUAGAAAAGUAAAAUAUAAGUCGGAAAUGACUUAUACUGAAAUCGGAAUGAAAACAGAAGAUUUAGAAUUUUCUGUGAGAAAUGGGACUGAUCUUUUAGCAGAAAAUUCACAGCGUCAGAAAAUUAUGAAAAUCUGGGAAUAUGUCGGGAUUAUUUUUAUGAGGUUAGAUUUAAAGUUUCAUGUCAUUCCGACACAAUGCACUUUUGCCUUUUUAGGGGGUUAAGUUGCAAAAUUUCAAUCUUAUCUUAACCCCAGCCACUCCCUGCAACUGCUACGUGCCAGGGACCCCCUCUCCAGCAUCUCUUUUCAUUUCUUUUCCUCUCUUUAUCUCUCUAAACCCUAGGUAGUAGUUGUGAGAGAGAUCUUGGUGGAGUAAAGUUUUGGAGUGGAUUUCUUCUUGUUGAAGCUGAAAGGAAGGCUUUUGGAGCUGAGGAAUCCCUUAGGGAAACUUCAAAUCCAGGUAAGCUUGAUAUCUAUUCCGGGUUUGAGUGUUAUUGGUUGCUUUGAAGAUGAUUUCUAAGUAGUUGAAGCUUAGUGAAGGAGAAAUUGGCAGCUUUUGGAAUUGUGAGUUGGGAGGAGCUGCCGAUAAGAAAAUCAGCUGAGGAAGCAUAGAAACUUGAGGUAAGAAGUGGUUUCUCAGUCAGGAAUUGGUUUAGCUACUCUAAGAGAGGAUUUUAAGUGAUUAAAGCUAGUAUUGUUAGGUAGAGACAUAGAAGCUAUGUUAAAAACAUCAUACAUAUAUAUAUAUAGAGUGAGGCUACUAUGCUAUCAGAAGCACGAAGCCUUCCGUGCUUCCACCUCGUUUUCGAUGUUGCGACUUUUGAAUCGUCGAUCAGCUCCGUUAAACUUGAUCUAGAGUAUUUGGAGUACCUAGAAAAUAAAUUUUAUUAUUUUUCGAUAUCAUUUGCCUAGUGAUCGAAUGGGCUCAAAAUCAACAAAUUUCAAUGACCGUAGUGAGCCGUUUGCAAGUUUAACGGUGUAGAAAUAUCGAAAUCACGUGAAAUUUUGAUAGAAAAUUCUUUAUACUAUAUAAAACAAGAUCAAUAUCUUUUAUAUGUCAUAUUAUUACAUUUUGUAAUAUUUUUAUUUUCAGCCGUUGAUUUUGAGCCCCUUCGUUCACUAGGCAAAUAAUAUCGUAAAAUCAUAAAAUUUAUUUUCUAA